UCUCCGUUAGUGAACCAGCGGAGGGAUCAUUACCGAGUUUACAACUCCCAAACCCCUGUGAAAAUACCAUCUGUUGCCUCGGCGGUGCCUGCUUCCGCAGCCCGCCAGAGGACACAAACGCUUGAUUUUAUACAGUCUCUUCUGAGUAAAUGAUUAAAUAAAUCAAAACUUUCAACAACGGAUCUCUUGGUUCUCACAUCGAUGAAGAACGCAGC
rnacentral:misc_RNA from 1 species